rnacentral:snoRNA from 1 species
AAUCCAUGGUGAGGACAUCUUCUCAUCCAAUCCUUAUACUUUUCCCAAGCCUCAUAUAGUGAUUCAGAAUCAAAUUGCAUGAAAGAAGUAAUAUUAUUCCGCAUUUU